rnacentral:rRNA from 1 species
AGUGAACGCUGGCGGUAGGCCUAACACAUGCAAGUCGAACGGCAGCACAGUAAGAGCUUGCUCUUACGGGUGGCGAGUGGCGGACGGGUGAGGAAUACAUCGGAAUCUACUUUUUCGUGGGGGAUAACGUAGGGAAACUUACGCUAAUACCGCAUACGACCUACGGGUGAAAGCAGGGGAUCUUCGGACCUUGCGCGAUUGAAUGAGCCGAUGUCGGAUUAGCUAGUUGGCGGGGUAAAGGCCCACCAAGGCGACGAUCCGUAGCUGGUCUGAGAGGAUGAUCAGCGACACUGGAACUGAGACACGGUCCAGACUCCUACGGGAGGCAGCAGUGGGGAAUAUUGGACAAUGGGCGCAAGCCUGAUCCAGCCAUGCCGCGUGGGUGAAGAAGGCCUUCGGGUUGUAAAGCCCUUUUGUUGGGAAAGAAAAGCAGCAGGUUAAUACCCCGCUGUUCUGACGGUACCCAAAGAAUAAGCACCGGCUAACUUCGUG